rnacentral:rRNA from 1 species
GAAUUCGCCCUUAGAGUUUGAUCCUGGCUCAGGAUGAACGCUAGCGGCAGGCCUAACACAUGCAAGUCGAGGGGUAACAUAGUAGCUUGCUACUGAUGACGACCGGCGCACGGGUGCGCACCGCGUAUGGAACCUACCUUUUACAGGGGAAUAGCCUUUGGAAACGAAGAUUAAUGCCCCAUAGUAUCAUUAUGCAGCAUUGCAUUUUGAUUAAAGGCUUCGGCCGGUGAAAGAUGGCCAUGCGUCCCAUUAGUUUGUUGGUAAGGUAACGGCUUACCAAGACUACGAUGGGUAGGGGCCCUGAGAGGGGGAUCCCCCACACUGGUACUGAGACACGGACCAGACUCCUACGGGAGGCAGCAGUGAGGAAUAUUGGACAAUGGAGGAGACUCUGAUCCAGCCAUGCCGCGUGCAGGAAGAAUGCCCUAUGGGUAGUAAACUGCUUUUAUACGGGAAGAAAAAGAGCUACGUGUAGCUUACUGACGGUACCGUAAGAAUAAGGACCGGCUAACUCCGUGCCAGCAGCCGCGGUAAUAAGGGCG